GUAGGUGGCAAGCGUUGUCCGGAAUUAUUGGGCGUAAAGCGCGCGCAGGUGGGUUCUUUAAGUCUGACGUGAAAGCCCCCGGGCUCAACCGGGGAGGGUCAUUGGAAACUGGGGAACUUGAGUGCAGGAGAGGAAAGUGGAAUUCCACGUGUAGCGGUGAAAUGCGUAGAUAUGUGGAGGAACACCAGUGGCGAAGGCGACUUUCUGGCCUGUAACUGACACUGAGGCGCGAAAGCGUGGGGAGCAAACAGGAUUAGAUACCCUGGUAGUCCACGCCGUAAACGAUGAGUGCUAAGUGUUGGGGGGUUUCCGCCCCUCAGUGCUGCAGCUAACGCAUUAAGCACUCCGCCUGGGGAGUACGGUCGCAAAGACUG
rnacentral:rRNA from 1 species